UACGUAGGGGGCGAGCGUUGUCCGGAAUUAUUGGGCGUAAAGAGCGUGUAGGCGGUUCGGUAAGUCUGCCGUGAAAACCUGGGGCUCAACCCCGGGCGUGCGGUGGAUACUGCCGGGCUAGAGUGCGGAAGAGGCGAGUGGAAUUCCUGGUGUAGCGGUGAAAUGCGCAGAUAUCGGGAGGAACAUCAGUAGCGAAGGCGGCUCGCUGGGCCAUUCCUGACGCUGAGACGCGAAAGCUAGGGGAGCGAACAGG
rnacentral:rRNA from 1 species